rfam:Clostridium disporicum strain 2789STDY5834856 genome assembly, contig: SCcontig000002
AAAUAAGAUAGAGGUUGCGAUAUUUAAUAGUAGCUUUGCAAUAAGAUUAAGCACGAGUGCAAAGUGAAAGGAGGUGUCGCCGAAACGAAUAACUGAGGCUUUAAGGUUAUUUCGUUGGGGUUAUGUAGAAUAUGCAUAACACUGUCAUAACGUCUGUUAUGAUGAGCUAUCACUAAA